rnacentral:rRNA from 1 species
GAUGAACGCUGGCGGCGUGCCUAAUACAUGCAAGUCGAGCGAACGGACGAGAAGCUUGCUUUUCUGAUGUUAGCGGCGGACGGGUGAGUAACACGUGGAUAACCUACCUAUAAGACUGGGAUAACUUCGGGAAACCGGAGCUAAUACCGGAUAAUAUUUUGAACCGCAGGGUUCAAAAGUGAAAGACGGUCUUGCUGUCACUUAUAGAUGGAUCCGCGCUGCAUUAGCUAGUUGGUAAGGUAACGGCUUACCAAGGCAACGAUGCAUAGCCGACCUGUGAGGGUGAUCGGCCACACUGGAACUGAGCCACGGUCCAGACUCCUACGGGAGGCAGCAGUAGGGAAUCUUACGCAAUGGGCGAAAGCAUGACGGAGCAACGCCGCGUGAGUGAUGAAGGUCUUCGGAUCGUAAAACUCUGUUAUUAGGGAAGAACAUAUGUGUAAGUAAAUGUGCACAUCUUGACGGUACCUAAUCAGAAAGCAACGGCUAGCUACGUG